CACCCCCGUUUCUCCGUUUCCCUUUCUCAUCACCCUCCCUUUUUCUCUCUCCAGUCCAUACGGCACUCAUGACUUUUCUUUAAGAUGAAAUUGUGUGUGUACUGUUCUCACCUACAUUCAAAUAUAGGAGGGCUCCCUGAUCUGUGGUUAAAAAGAAGGCAGCCACUGGGGCUGACAAGGGGCACCUGCAGUGGAUACAAGCACAGUAGUUUCAAAAGAAGAUAAUAAAGUGAAUAUCAUUAUUUUGUUGGACAGUUAACAACAACGGAUUGGCUCUGUCUCCUUCCAGCUAACUGGUAACCUGGAGAUAAUACAUUAGUUGUUCUUCUAUGCGGGAGCUGCCCUGGAACUUGCAGGCAAGAAUAGCCUGACCAUUUGUGGCUGCAACCCAGUUGUUUCAACAUGCAGAAGAUUUCAGGUUGAUGCUAUAAAGACAGGAUGGUGGAUCUGUGCAUUAUUUGAGCCUAUUGUGGUUUUUCCUGGGAAUAACAAAAGUGCAGAAGCUGCCUAUAACUGUAGAAAGUUCAGACCCUCAAUCAAAAUAGGAAUUGUUACUGGAAUAUUUACAAUCUUUGAGGUGGAAUAGCUGCCAGCCAUCUAUCCCUGAAAGAGCAUGAAGUGCAUUCUCCUAAUGCAAGUUUCACCCAAAACAACAAUUCCUUACUUGAAAGAUGACUCACAGCUUCUGAUACCUGGAAGGAAAUUCGAAAGAGACUAAAGCAUAUGAAAGUAAACAAAGGAUGCUUUCACUUUGCUAAGAAAUUUGAGAAGAAAUAUCAGUAGAAAUAACAAAACUGCAAGUUAUACACUAAGGGGAAGAUUUACUAAUCCACGAACGCUCCGAUCAUAUUUUCUGCGCCUUUUUCGUACCUUGCAUGACUUUUUCACCGCUUUCACAACUUUUUUGUACUUUGCGACAAAAUUUGUGCGACAAAAUCGUAUUGUCGCG